UGUUUUGAGCUUGACUGUUCACAGUAAAGGCUGCAGAGCUACAGCCUGCAGAGCAGUCAGCUGCUCAGUUACUCCAACUGAAUGGGUGACUUGACGGAAGUGCUAAAAAUACAGUGCUGACUCUGCUGCUGCUACGGUAGAGAAGAAUAUCUUCUGGUUUUCCACUGAAAGCUGCAGUAUCAGCUCAUCAAGCAGCAUGUGGGAACUGCAUCAAGCAUGCAUCAGUUAGGAUGGAGCUGGAGGGAAAGCCAGAAGAUCAUCAAAGCCAUCAGAACUCAUCCUCUGGGAACCAUGAGGGUCUCUACCAAAUCUCAUGUCAGUCCAUCCAGACGUUUUUGUGAUAUUUAAGUCUUUUACCUAUAUAUCUGUUAGUUUUACAUUUCAGUUCUAACUACUUAGUGUUGUUUGUUAUAUUGUUCUGUACUUCAUGUGUAAUGUGCAACUCCUAAAGGAAAUAAUGCACCUAAAUCACUUCAACAGUUAAGCGGAAGCUGAUCGUGUACUUUACAUUUCAGACCCAACACCAACACCAGGUCGAGAUAUUCUAGCACCCUUAUAUUCCUGUUGUCUGAACACCUACUUGCUUGUAAAUGAUUAUGAAAAAAAUCCCACACAAAGAGCAUUUCAGGGUUUGAACACAGUCUCUAAGACAAGAUGCUGAUGAUGAAGGUGUUAAGUCCUUUGCAGAGUUACUAAAAAGAGAUGGUUUUAUAGAUGUGAAUAUGCUACAAGAACUGAAAUGUACUUAUUUUACAAUUAGGAAUCUCUCAUUGGAUCACUUGUUUGGAGCUGAAAGAAUAUAAAGCAGGGGAAAAUAGCCAGAUGGUCUGAUAGAGCAAUAUGUAUUUAGUUUAAAUUGUUAACAAAUUGUUUUUGCAUCUGAUUUGUGAUCUGAAACAUCAGUGGUUAAUCCUUCACAAUCAAAGAGGAAGAGAGUCUUUUCAGUUUACACAUUUAGCAAUCACACACAUAGAGAAACAGAUAAUGGCAGAUCAGAUACACAUUUCUCUUCAGCCUCUUAUGGUUUAUGUUCAUUAUGCAACUACUCUGCACGACCGAUUAACAUUUAGUCGAGCCAAGUCUGACAAAAGAGCUGAGAUGUCCCAAAAGGCCACCAUUGCAACAUGACUUUUCCUCUGGAACCACUUUUCUUUUCUUUACCCAUCCAACAAUUGUUUUUCAGUGUGUAAUGAGCCUUCAAGCUGCUAGCAUGGCUCCUUAUUGUAUCACUUUUGGCCAUGUUUGCAUUUCACCAAGUAAAUACAUGUUUCUGAUUAGAA